rnacentral:rRNA from 1 species
CUGAAGGAGGAGCUUGCUUCUCUGGAUGAGUUGCGAACGGGUGAGUAACGCGUAGGUAACCUGCCUGGUAGCGGGGGAUAACUAUUGGAAACGAUAGCUAAUACCGCAUAAGAGCAGAUGUUGCAUGACAUUUGCUUAAAAGGUGCAAUUGCAUCACUACCAGAUGGACCUGCGUUGUAUUAGCUAGUUGGUGGGGUAACGGCUCACCAAGGCGACGAUACAUAGCCGACCUGAGAGGGUGAUCGGCCACACUGGGACUGAGACACGGCCCAGACUCCUACGGGAGGCAGCAGUAGGGAAUCUUCGGCAAUGGACGGAAGUCUGACCGAGCAACGCCGCGUGAGUGAAGAAGGUUUUCGGAUCGUAAAGCUCUGUUGUAAGAGGAGAACGAGUGUGAGAGUGGAAAGUUCACACUGUGACGGUAUCUUACCAGAAAGGGACGGCUAACUACGUGCCAGCAGCCGCGGUAAUACGUAGGUCCCGAGCGUUGUCCGGAUUUAUUGGGCGUAAAGCGAGCGCAGGCGGUUAGAUAAGUCUGAAGUUAAAGGCUGUGGCUUAACCAUAGUACGCUUUGGAAACUGUUUAACUUGAGUGCAAGAGGGGAGAGUGGAAUUCCAUGUGUAG